GGUAAAGACGUGGUCUUCUUUCCUUAGCCACCUCGACCCAGCUAUCUCUUCAUUUUUCUUUUUUCUGAAAAUAGAACCAUAACCGAAAUCCCAGAUCGUUCUUCUUCUAAUCUAUUCUCCCAGAACCCAAGAUUCAAUCUCAAGCUUUCAACAAUUUCUUCGAUCUGUAACCAAUUUCUUCGAUCUGUAAACAUUUUCUUUUCUCAAUCUCAAUCGUGAGCCAUUUUUUUCUCCUUCUUAAGUGGUAAUGAUAAUCUGAAAAACCCCUAAAUCGAAUAUUGAAUUCAGUUUUCCUGCUCGUAAUAAUGAUAAUCUAAAAAAAAUAUUGUUGUUUGAGUCUACUUUUGGUAUUUGAAAACCCGGAUCUAGUUUUGCUUUACUGAAGCUUUGAGUUGUGAAGAUCGAGCAUAUCUUGUAGGUACUCUUAAGGGUAAGCUAAUGCCAUUUUCACUGAAGCACAAUCUGAAUUUCUUGAUUCCCUUUCUACAAAUGUUAGUAAACGUGUUGAAGCUCUACAAGAGAUUCAGGUCAAGAAGGAAGAUGUGGAGAAGAUUAUUGAUCGGGAGAGGACUGCCGUUUAAGCCCGCUCGUGUUUUGUUGCAGGUGCAUGCAACUAUUUAAUCUAUAAAAAAUUAGGUGAUAAGGAAGAUUUAUGUUGAUAUCCUUUUUAAGUACUUUUUUGUUUUCCAUGAUUUUACUGGUGUACCUGCUGUCAUUGACCUUGCCUGCAUGCGUGACACAAUGAACAAGCUAGGAAGUGAUUCUAACAAGAUCAACCCUUGGUUAAUCUUCCACGUGGAUUUGGAUAUGUUGUAUAUAUGACUAGAGCUUAUGCAGAAAAGGCACUUCUUUUCAUGGAUGGGGCACAAAUUGAUGGAAAUGUUGUUCGAGCAAGGUUCACCUUGUCUCCACGAAAGAAGGGUUCCUCACCUACAAAGAUUGUUCCUGCUUCUCAAAAGAAGGAUGGUGUUGACAUUCAAAAGGAUGCUCCACACAGACAAAGAGAUUAUAGGUUUCUUCAUGUGGUCCCGUAUAUUUUCUUAGGAGAAAUAUUCUAUCAUAUAUGAUUAUAUAUAUACAAAGAAAUAUUUUCUUUUAGGUUUCAAAGGAAUGUCCAUACUUUAGGUUUAGUCACUUGGAAUGGCUCAAUGUUUGCUCUGAAAUGAUCACCCAGACUGUAUAUGAGCUAUUAGUAUCCGAGUUUGAACAUUUACACCACAAAUUCAAAGUUUGGGAUAUUCAGUAUGCUAAUUCGUCGUCUGGAAGCCUUUUUGUAAGGUUUCUAAACUUGCUCCGACAUAUGUGUCCUUACUAGUAAGAUUAUUGUUGUCUACGUUUAGUUUGUUAAUGAUGAAUAUUAUAGGUUAACCUAUGUUCAGCACUACAUAAAAUUGACCGAUCUGGAGGAAAACCGCAGGUUGAAUGAAUUACUGUAAGGCUUGGACUUCAAUCAAGUAUUUAUUUUUGUCAAAAGUGUUUGGCAAAGCAGGUCGAUUUGUUACGAAAGGGCUUGCAAUUUAAUUUGUCACUUCAUGUGAAGGUUUAAGAGAGGUUUGAAGUUCAGGAGAGGUUUGAAGUAAGAAGAAUUACGCUGAUAUUAAAACACAGUGUUGGAGUUGAACAAUAUCUGAACUCUGAAUGGAAAGUACUUGCAGUUACUCAGAAGGAUGUUGCAGUGUCGUCAUUAUCUUUGAAAAAUCACUAAUUCAAAGAUAAUUUUUCGUUUCCCUUUGUUUUCAACCCUUUACAUAAUAUUUAUAUGAAAACCUAUGCAUUUAAGCUCGACAAGAACUGAUGCAAAGCAUUAUAAUGUAAAGCAUGAUAUGUAGAAUGAACCUGGAGGGAUGGAGAGCUAUAGUCUUUGAAUACUAACCACAAUUACAACAAUCAAAGCUUGCUACAAGAGAAGCUAAAAAAGUCAUGGUGAAUAGCUGCAAAGCUUUAAACUUGGUUUGAGCACCUUGACUGUCGGAAGAAGAUUCUCAAUGAUUAACUGAUGGUAGAACCUUGCUGCUGAGUUGAGCCAAUUUGUUAUCUUAAGCUCGUAAUUAUAUGAAUAUGGGUUAAGGUUUUCCAACUUACUGUUAGGAUGUUUUGAGACUUAGAACUUGCAGUAUUUUAGAUAGUUGAAAUUGUAAACUGAUUGCACUUUUCAAUACAAAUUGAGUUCUAAGGUUAUUAUCAAUUUAAUUUUGUUAAA